rnacentral:rRNA from 1 species
AUUGAACGCUAGCGGGAUGCUUUACACAUGCAAGUCGAACGGCAGCACGAAAAGAGCUUGCUCUUUUUGGUGGCGAGUGGCGAACGGGUGAGUAAUGUAUCGGAACGUACCCAGUAGCGGGGGAUAACUACGCGAAAGCGUGGCUAAUACCGCAUACGCCCUACGGGGGAAAGGGGGGGAUCGCAAGACCUCUCACUAUUAGAGCGGCCGAUAUCGGAUUAGCUAGUUGGUGGGGUAAAGGCUCACCAAGGCAACGAUCCGUAGCUGGUUUGAGAGGACGACCAGCCACACUGGGACUGAGACACGGCCCAGACUCCUACGGGAGGCAGCAGUGGGGAAUUUUGGACAAUGGGGGAAACCCUGAUCCAGCCAUCCCGCGUGUGCGAUGAAGGCCUUCGGGUUGUAAAGCACUUUUGGCAGGGAAGAAACGGCGCUGACUAAUACUUGGCGCAACUGACGGUACCUGCAGAAUAAGCACCGGCUAACUACGUG